rnacentral:piRNA from 1 species
UGCAAUGAAUCCCACGCUGAGCAACCUGAG